GACGAACGCUGGCGGCGUGCUUAACACAUGCAAGUCGAGCGGUAAGGCCCUUUCGGGGGUACACGAGCGGCGAACGGGUGAGUAACACGUGGGUGACCUGCCCUCAGCUCUGGGAUAAGCCUGGGAAACUGGGUCUAAUACUGGAUAUGACUCCACGGUGCAUGUCGUGGGGUGGAAAGCCUUGUGCGGCUGAGGAUGGGCCCGCGGCCUAUCAGCUUGUUGGUGGGGNGAUGGCCUACCAAGGCGACGCGGGUAGCCGGCCUGAGAGGGCGACCGGCCACACUGGGACUGAGACACGGCCCA
rnacentral:rRNA from 1 species